rnacentral:rRNA from 1 species
UAAGACAGAGGGGGCGAGCGUUGUCCGGAGUGACUGGGCGUACAGCGCGCGCAGGCGGUUCGUUACGUGCAUGGUGACAGCUCCGGGCUUAACCGGGAGUGGCCCGUGUAGACGGGGGGACUAGAGGCUUAGAGAGGGCUAUGGAAUACCCGGUGGAGCGGUGAAAUGCGCAGAGAUCGGGUGGAACACCAGGGGCGAAGGCGAUAGCCUGGCUAAGCACUGACGCUGAGGCGCGAGAGCGUGGGGAGCAAACGGGAUUAGAUACCCCGGUAGUCCACGCCGUAAACGAUGUGGAGCCGGUGCUGGGUGGUGAUUGUACCGCUCGGUGCCUCAGCUUACGCGAUGACUCCACCGCCUGGGGACUACGGCCGCAAGGCU